AGAGUUUGAUCAUGGCUCAGGAUGAACGCUGGCGGCGUGCUUAACACAUGCAAGUCGAACGAUGAUGGGAGCUUGCUCCUGGAUUAGUGGCGAACGGGUGAGUAACACGUGAGUAACCUGCCCUUAACUCUGGGAUAAGCCUGGGAAACUGGGUCUAAUACCGGAUAUGACUCCUCAUCGCAUGGUGGGGGGUGGAAAGCUUUAUUGUGGUUUUGGAUGGACUCGCGGCCUAUCAGCUUGUUGGUGAGGUAAUGGCUUACCAAGGCGACGACGGGUAGCCGGCCUGAGAGGGUGACCGGCCACACUGGGACUGAGACACGGCCCAGACUCCUACGGGAGGCAGCAGUGGGGAAUAUUGCACAAUGGGCGCAAGCCUGAUGCAGCGACGCCGCGUGAGGGAUGACGGCCUUCGGGUUGUAAACCUCUUUCAGUAGGGAAGAAGCGAAAGUGACGGUACCUGCAGAAGAAGCGCCGGCUAACUACGUGCCAGCAGCCGCGGUAAUACGUAGGGCGCAAGCGUUAUCCGGAAUUAUUGGGCGUAAAGAGCUCGUAGGCGGUUUGUCGCGUCUGCCGUGAAAGUCCGGGGCUCAACUCCGGAUCUGCGGUGGGUACGGGCAGACUAGAGUGAUGUAGGGGAGACUGGAAUUCCUGGUGUAGCGGUGAAAUGCGCAGAUAUCAGGAGGAACACCGAUGGCGAAGGCAGGUCUCUGGGCAUUAACUGACGCUGAGGAGCGAAAGCAUGGGGAGCGAACAGGAUUAGAUACCCUGGUAGUCCAUGCCGU
rnacentral:rRNA from 1 species